AGAGCUUCAUUACAUAAUCUUGAAAAUUAAAGGCCAAUUAGAUUUUAAAUUUUUUACUUUUUAACAUAUACAAAGCCCAAAUAAUAACAUAAAAACAGCCUGCAUUCAGUUAUCAAAAAUUUGCAGUAGAAAAUAUCGCUAAAACACUUGGUGUGCAUAACUAGUUACAGGAGAAUGCUCAAAACUGCAUCGCAAAAUCGCGACUGUUAUAAUCAACUGGGCAUUGGACGAUUUAAAAAAAGUAAUUUUCGGCGAUUUUUCAGGCUUCGUCUGAUGUGCGGACGAGAGUAUUAUAGGACGCGA